CUCUGCUUAGCGUUUUCGGGGUUGGGAACGGAGCCAGCAGGAUGGACGCGUGGCAAACGCCUCGGACACGGCUGUGAUCCUUGACUACUGGGGGAGGGAACCCGGUGAGAUGGUGACGGGAGUCAAGGGUCACGAAGGACUGGCCUCCCUGAUCUCUCUCCUCAUGGCCGUGACCCACCUCCAGCCCCUGGACCAUCGGGUACAGAGACUAAGGUUGGGAAUGGGUUGGUUGGGUGGAGUUUCCAUGGUCCAUUUAAAUGCCUCCCUGCUCCCAUUCGUCGCUCUCAAAAUUAGCUUCAGUGACAAAGACUUCCAUCUCUCUCCGGUCGGCAGCCCUGGGUUGGAGAGAGGGCACGGGAGUGGGGCUCCGCUGCUCACUGGUUGCGACUGUAGGAACUGUGUUGGCCGGCAUCGGUGGUGGUGUUCUCACGGGAGGGGGCAUCAUUGCAGAUUGGACGGGACCUCCACCUGGGACGUCCACUCACUUCCCUCAGCUGAAUCAGGUGACCGUGCAGGGUGGAGGCAGGACCAAGGGGGCAGCGUGGUCUGUGUUUGAACAGAUUCCUGGCUCACUGAGCACCCGAGGGGAUGACGGCCUGGUGGGAGUGGGAUAGUUUCCCCUUUGAACAGCCAAUAAAUACUUUUUAUUACAAAAGUUAUACUGAUAUCAACGUCGACGCCUUCCGUUCAAAUGCAGUGCAUCGCAGCCGACUACCCACCCGCAGGAUGUGAUGUCACUGUCUUCAAGGAGUUCACAGUCUAAUUUGUCCAAGUACCUUGUGUUUUCACAGACCAUUUACGUCUGGUAAAGCCUUAUAGAGUUCUGGGGGAAAUAUCCUGGAGAAUAUAUAGCAACAUGGUUCUAACUUCUGAGAGUUCAGUCCGUGGCCGCAAGAUACGUACCACAGAGGUUUCCUGCCGAUUAUGGAAAGUGUGUGGGUUGUAAAUGAAAACUUAGUUGA